CCUGCAGAACAAAACCUGGUCAGCAUUGUAUGAAACAGACUCACCUAAGAGGUGGAAUUCAGUGGUAUUCCAUUUUGGGCUGCACAGAGACCCAUGAUGACUGCUUCAAGAAAAAGACAAUGUCUUCUGGAAUGCAUUUUAUUUACUGCUGCCAUCACACCCUGUGCAAUUUCUGAGCCAGUGGCCAAUUUCCAAGUUGGUUGAUGGGACAGCCAAUCUCCAAGUCUGACCUGGUCAUCACAAGACAACAGGCUACCACUAAGGGGCCCUCUGCGAACACCUCAGAUCUUUGCAGGUCAUACGAGUUGUGGUCUGAAACCAACUCUGGUUUUCAAGGAGCCUCACUUCUUCCCCACCACCGUAAACUCCUCCCAGAAACAUCCUUUUCAACACCAUGUCUCCUCUCUCCUCUUUCUGCUUAAUUCCCCUUCUGGUGAUUUCAAAGCUAUCAAGAAGUAAAAAUGUAAUUCCCUGAGUCAAGUUA